rnacentral:lncRNA from 1 species
CGGGGCCACCGCGGGGGCGGAGCUCGGCUGGGAGCCGGCAGUGGCUUGGGAGGGAGGGAGGGAGAAGGAGAGGGGCGGGAAGGCUCCUCGCGUUUUCCACGCCCCCGCCCAGCUCUGGGCUGGUGGUAAAUCUCGGAACUGGUCCGGGCUGGGCGAGUUCUGGACGGAGGGGCACGUUUGGGAAUCCUCUUGGAAGAAUUUACGUAAUCGAAUGGGCUGGGACUGGUGGAAAAGAGUUGGACCGUCCGGAAAGAAGCAGGAGGGCGGCGCGGGGGCCUGGCACCCUUAGAAAGUGGGAAGUGUGAGUGUAAAAGGGAGGGGCACUUCUGCCCGUUGGGCCCAAAAACCCUUUUCUGGCUUUAGCUAGUAGAGCCACUCAAAAUUUAAACGGAGUCAGCUUGAUGUGGCAUAUAUGAUAAGCUGGAUAAUAUUUCCUGCACCACCGCACCCCUCCCCCCACCCCAACACCAACAAGAAAAUAACACAAGUCACGGUUCUUGUUCCUUGUGGGCUGACAUUUCCCUGUUUUGCCAACCUCUGGAGCCACGUGUCCCAAGCAGCUUGUAGUUGAGAAGUGAUGGGGGAGAGGAGACAGCACGGGAGAGGAAGGAGGGAAGCCAGCUUAUAUUCAGACGGAAUCUCACUCUGUCACCCAGGCUGGAGUGCAGUGGCACAAUCUCAGCUCACUGCAACCUCGACCUCCCAGGUACAAGCAAUUCUCCUGCCUCAGCCUCCCAAGUAGCUGGGAUUACAGAUGGAGUUUUGCUCUUGUCGCCCCGGCUGGAGUGCAGUGGUGCGACCUCAGCGAUCUCAGCGAUCUCAGCGAUCUCAGCUCACUACAACCUCUGCCUCUUGGAUUCAAGCAGUUCUCCUGCCUCAACCACCUGAGUAGCUGGGAUUACAGGCGCCUGCCACCACGCCUGGCUAAUUUUUGUAUUUUUAGUAGAGAUGGGGUUUCACCAGGUUGGUCAGUCUGGUCUCGAACUCCUGACCUCAGGUGAUCCACCCACCUCGGCCUCCCAAAGUGCUGGGAUUACAGGCGUGAGCCACCAUGCCCAGCCUACACUUGGGCUUCUUAGGCACAAGAUCCAGUAAGCCCUCCCUCCUCCUCCCCACCCCUUUUUUCUUUACACUAGUGUUUUCUGUAAUCCUGCAACAGAAAGAGUCCUAACUGAUAUAUUUGUGACCAUUUCUAAAAUCUCCAAAAUGUAAAAUUAUACAAUUAAGAAUUAAAAUAAUUUUUUAAAACCAA